AUUGAACGCUGGCGGCAGGCCUAACACAUGCAAGUCGAGCGAGCGGCGGACGGGUGAGUAAUGCCUGGGAAUUGCCCAGUCGAGGGGUAUAACAGUUGGAAACGCCUGCUCAUACCGCAUAGGAUCGGAUUGCCCAGGUGGGAUUAGCUAGUUGGUGCGGUAAUGGCGCACCAAGGCGACGAUCCUUAGCUGGUCUGAGAGGAUGAUCAGCCACACUGGAACGGAGGCCAGGUGGAGACUCCUAAGGGAGGCAGCAGUGGGGAAUAUUGCAAAAUGGGGGAAACCCUGAUGCAGCCAUGCGGCGUGGGUGAAGAAGGACUUAGGGUUGUAAAGCACCUUCAGCGCGGAGGCGUUACUCGCAGAAGAAGCGCCGGCUAACUCCGUGCCAGCAGCCGCGGUAAUUC
rnacentral:rRNA from 1 species